GACAGAGGCCGUCAAGCGUUAGGCGGAAUCACUGGGCUUAAAGCGUGUGUAGGCGGGUCGUUAAGUACCUUGUGAAAUCCCACGGCUCACCCGUGGAACUGCUGGGUAUACGUGGCGAUCUUGGGCCAACUAGGGGCAACUGGAACAAGCGGUGGAGCGGUGAAAUGCGUUGAUAUCGAUAGGAACUCGGUGGCGAAGGCGGCAUACUGGACCACAUCUGACGCUGAGGCGCGAAAGC
rnacentral:rRNA from 1 species